AUUGAACGCUGGCGGCAGGCCUAACACAUGCAAGUCGAGCGGAUGAAGGGAGCUUGCUCCUGGAUUCAGCGGCGGACGGGUGAGUAAUGCCUAGGAAUCUGCCUGGUAGUGGGGGAUAACGUCCGGAAACGGGCGCUAACACCGCAUACGGCCUGAGGGAGAAAGUGGGGGAUCUUCGGACCUCACGCUAUCAGAUGAGCCUAGGUCGGAUUAGCUAGUUGGUGGGGUAAAGGCCUACCAAGGCGACGAUCCGUAACUGGUCUGAGAGGAUGAUCAGUCACACUGGAACUGAGACACGGUCCAGACUCCUACGGGAGGCAGCAGUGGGGAAUAUUGGACAAUGGGCGAAAGCCUGAUCCAGCCAUGCCGCGUGUGUGAAGAAGGUCUUCGGAUUGUAAAGCACUUUAAGUUGGGAGGAAGGGCAGUAAGUUAAUACCUUGCUGUUUUGACGUUACCAACAGAAUAAGCACCGGCUAACUUCGUG
rnacentral:rRNA from 1 species